UACGUAGGAGGCAAGCGUUGUCCGGAAUUACUGGGCGUAAAGCGCGUGUAGGUGGUGGGACAAGUCUGCUGUGAAAGCGCCUGGCUUAACCGGGCGAGGUCGGCGGAAACUGUCCGACUCGAGUACGGUAGAGGGGGAUGGAAUUCCGCGUGUAGCAGUGAAAUGCGUAGAUAUGCGGAGGAACACCGAUGGCGAAGGCAAUCCCCUGGACCUGUACUGACGCUCAUGCACGAAAGACGU
rnacentral:rRNA from 1 species